CGUAAAAAAAGACAAACAAUUUUCGUGUCCAACGUUUAACCAUACGUUUUAUUUGAAAAAAUUAUAAAAAAAUUAAAAAGACAAGUCACGCAUAAAAUAUUAAUCAUGUUUUACCAUCUAACAACAAUAAAACUACUAAUUAUAAGAAAAUCAUAUAAGACGGAUAGUUAAACGUUAGACACGGAAACCUAGCGUUUGUCUCUUU
rfam:Oryza nivara chromosome 12, whole genome shotgun sequence.